rnacentral:rRNA from 1 species
UGAGGAAUUUUGCGCAAUGGGAGCAAUCCUGACGCAGCAACGCCGCGUGGGUGAUGAAGGCCUUCGGGUCGUAAAGCCCUGUCAGGUGGGAAGAAUGUCCCGGGACUGAACAGGUUCCGGGAGUGACGGUACCACCAGAGGAAGCACCGGCUAACUCCGUGCCAGCAGCCGCGGUAAUACGGAGGGUGCAAGCGUUAUUCGGAAUUACUGGGCGUAAAGCGCGUGUAGGCGUUCCUGCAAGUCUGAUGUGAAAGCCCCGGGCUUAACCCGGGAAGUGCAUUGGAAACUGUGGGACUUGAGUACUGGAGAGGAUGGUGGAAUUCCUGGUGUAGAGGUGAAAUUCGUAGAGAUCGGGAGGAAUAUCAGUGGCGAAGGCGCCCAUCUGGACGGUAACUGACGCUGAGACGCGAAAGCGUGGGGAGCAAACA